rnacentral:rRNA from 1 species
AUUGAACGCUGGCUGCAGGCCUAACACAUGCAAGUCGAGCGAGCGGCGGACGGGUGAGUAAUGUAUGGGGACUGCCCGAUAGUGGGGGAUCACUACUGGAAACGGUUGCUAAUACCGCAUACUAUCGGAUAACCCAUAUGGGAUUAGCUAGUAGGUGGGGUAAAGGCUCACCUAGGCGACGAUCUCUAGCUGGUCUGAGAGGAUGAUCAGCAACACUGGGACUGAGACACGGCCCAGAAUCUGACGGAGGCAGCAGGGGGGAAUAUGGCACAAUGGGCGCAAGCCUGAAGCAGCCAAGCCGAGUGUAUGAAGAAGGCCUUAGGGUUGUAAAGUACUUUAAGCGGGAGGCGUUACCCGAAGAAGAAGCACGGGAUAACUCCGUGCCAGCAGCCGCGGUAAUAC